CCACCCUGAUCUACGAGCACUUCUGAUCUUCAAUCAGCCUGCCUAAGAUCGUAGUAGAGCACCCUGAUUUACAAUCAGCCUGAUCUACGAGCACUUCUGAUCAAAGAUCAGCCUGAUCUACGACCACCCUUCUCGUUCCGACCAGCCUUAUUGAAAACUAAAGCGCCCUUCUAUUAUAUUUUAGAAUUUUUAAAGCAACCUUUCGCCUUUAUUGAGGAGAUAUAAAACAAGCUUACUUACUAAUAAAGCGGCAACAAGCACCUUCUUUCUCAAAGUCAAGUUUCUCCCUUCUUGCUUGACUUUAGUUUUCAAUAAGGCUCGCGCAAGGGCGCUCACGUUUUUUGGCUCCUUCCCGGCCCGGAAGUUAGCUUCUGGCGACUAGCUUCUACCGCUAGCGCUUGGACUUGGAAGCAAGCUACAACUACCUUGAAUCAAUCAAUGAAUGAAUGAAAAGGAACCGCUUACCGAGGAAUAGAAAGGGGGGACAGGUUGGUUCGAGGACCCGUUGGUCAAAGGAAAGGGGAGGUCCUUAUUCCGGGACGGAGCCGUAUGACGCGAGAGUGUCACGUACGGUUCCUUUGAGAAGGGUGUGAUACCACCACCUAUCAGGCCCGACGAGCGGUCCACGGAGCUGCAUCCUUACUCACCUGGUCCAUGCACAUUGCUCUCUCCAGGAGGUUGGCCGCCUAUCCUAGAUCUUCCCAUUUCCAAGAAGAUCCCGGGCUCGAUCCGGUUUAGUAUCAAGGUGAUUCUGUUUCCGUUCCUAUAUAUAUGGGUCCGUGCAGCAUUUCCACGAUAUCGUUAUGAUCAAUUAAUGGGACUUGGCCGGAAAGUGUUCUUGCCUCUAUCAUUAGCUCGGGUAGUCCCCGUUUCUGGUCUUUUAGUCACCUUUCAAUGGCUCCCUUAAUUAUGUGAGAGGAAUUUCCCUCUUUAGUAAUGGGAAGCAGGCUAGUCCCCGAAAAUGCUCGUUCCUUUGUCGUUGGGGAUCCAAAUCUUACUUGUGACUCAUUCCUUCGGUCGAGCGUUCUUCGGACGUCGAUCAAUCUCUCACUCGAUCACAGGCCGCACUCUGUCAUUGUCUGAUUUUUGGUUGUCUGAUCACACUCGAAAUUAUGUAUCUCCUUAUCGUAUUUUUUACCCUGCUCGGUGUUCCUUUUCCAUUUGCUUCCAAUAGUUCAACUAUUGCACCGCGAUGUGUCAUAAAGAGAUUGAUGAUCAAACUUUCGAUCUUGUUCUUUCUAUUCUGUGUCUUCUAUUUGCUUUGUCUCAUACUCGGUUCCAUUGACAUUUUUUGGGCCUUGCUCUCAAAGGCUGGGGUAUCUAUGGGGUGUCGAGCCCUAUGUUCUUUUGUCUUUAAGAUUGGAUGCUCCGGGGCUCUGGCCUUGGCCAUUGGAUUUGCUGUGAAGGCCCUCCUCGCUACCGAGGCCGCGCCCUAUCUUGCGAAUAUGGUGUUACCCGCUGGGGCGGAAGCGAGCGUAAACCAAGCGCCGGGUAGGAAUGACGCGGGGCCUUCAAAUGCAGGUCCUUAUAAUGUGGUCCCCGCUGACUCUCCUCUGAGAUCUUUUCCCUCGGUGCCCUCUUCCUUAACACCGAUACCCUUUGACCCUUCCGUCCCCUCUGUACCCUCGCUCCCCUCCUUAGAGGAAAAUAACCUUUUUGGGAGGGAGCAGUCGGCCCCACCACAACCCCCCGC